rnacentral:pre_miRNA from 1 species
UCUUAUGAAUGAACAAAGAAAGUGGUUUCUUGAGAUGGAAUCUACUCUUGGGGAAGAAGCUAUGAA